rnacentral:lncRNA from 1 species
UUUUUUUUUUUUGUGAACGAAAUUUUUAUUUACACACUGUAUCUAGGAGCAGAUACAUAAACUCUUAUACAAUUAAUUUCCAAAAAUGUGCAAGAAAUUACUAUAAUUUGUUUACAAACCAAAACACAUAUUAAAAUCUAUGGACUUUGGAUAGUUCGUUCUGUGGUGUUCUCAGUACAAAUGGUACACACCUGAUUUGAAACAUACAGAAAAAGUGUAAACUACAGCAAUCUGGAUUGCAAGUAUUAAUUUCAUGGCACUCCAACAACUAUGAAAUUUCUUUAACCCAACAUAUAUACUAUUACAAAAUUCUAUAAGAAUUUCUCCUCAUCUCUGGAUGUAGCAUUUGGAUAACUUUUCAGGAACAGUGACUACACAUUUUGCCAUGUUAUGAUUGAUCAAUAAAAAGGAUGUUUAUAAAAGACCUUUUUUUACAGGAUUAAAAAAGUAUUAAAAGAAACCAAAUCUGUGAUUACUAGCGUACCAACACCUUUAGAAUUUAAAUUUAUGGAACUGGCUAUUGUUCCUUAUUAGAGUAUUCAACAAAAGUAUCUAUUGCUGGUAGUGUGAUUUCACUUUCAAAUUAAUAUUUCACAUUCAAUGAAAAGCAAUUAAGUUUUAAAUCAAAAUAUAUUAUUUUGAAUCAUUCAUAAAGCAAUAUCUCUCAUAUACUAUGUGACACGUACAAUAAUUAAAAUUGGCAUUCCUGAAAGCAUUGUUAGAAAGAUAGACCUGUGGCACUAGGAAACAUUGCAUAAACCUAUUUAAGAUUUUAGUAACUUUUAUCCUGUUUCAAUAAUACUGGCUCAGAAAAUAUAACAUAUACUUUGUGUUUCAUUUCCUAUAUGCCAAUGAUUUUGCCUUUUGGCACGUGAUUUUCUUCAAUGGCAAGAGGGCUGCCCUAGGUAGCUGGUUUCCUUAAAACUAUUUUUAGUUCUAGGUCAUUUCCUGUGAUAUAAUGUGUGACUUUUUAAAUUUUCAUAUUGCACCAAGCAGAAAGAAAACAGUUUUCCUUAGACAGAGAAAGGAGACAUUUUUCAAGUACAUUCCACAGCUUUCUUUUCAUUUAUAAAAUGCAUUGUCAUAGUAAGCCUCAAAAUAGCUUCCAGCCUCCACCAAGCUCUAUGAUGAAAUAUUUGAUUAAAAAAAAAAUUACCUCUGAUCCAUUUACUGUCACAAAUGGACACAGCUUCCUGUUUUCCAGGAGGUCUGAUUUCUUUUAAAGUACAUACUUGAGAAUCACUUACAAGUUGGGUCCAUGUCACUUAAGUUCCCUUUCAACAGAAUCCACAAACUUCAACAAAUAGAAUCUAGACCAAGCUAUAGGAUAAAGAUUUCUCUCUUUCUCCCCUUUCCACUUUUACCAGACCAUUUCAGUAUCAGAAAAGCCAAUCUUCCACAUUAUGUCAAACUGCCUAGGUCAAAAGAGGUACCUCUCUACACAUAAGCAGCAAAUUCUGCAAUACACAUUUCUGUUUGCAAAUUUAAUUUCUUGGCAAAUCCUUUGAUUUUUAUCUAUAUACUAUAAGAACAUAACAAUUUCAAGUUGAAUUAUAAUAGGGCAUAUUACUUUAAGGUAUUUUGCAUUAUGAAUACACCAAAGUACAUAAAAAAUUGUUUUUCCAAAUUAGAACAGUAUUGACUUGCCCUCCAAAAAACCACAAAAUACAAUUUAAAAAACAUUUGGAUAAAGGUCAAAAUAAUCUUGACACUACAUAGGCAUAUUUUAAGCACAUGGCAUUAUGAGAAAAUGCAGGGACAGGCUACAUCCACAGAGAUUGGUAGGUGUGGUCCCAAGGCCUCUGUACCGCCAGCUCACCGAGGACAGACAGACACAAAGAAGCCAUCUCAACACUUACCAUCAGCACAAGUGACUGUGACAAUACCUGCCAUCUAACAUGGAUGCACAAGGACUUCUAGAUAUAUUUUAAAUUGUUUAAAAAUAAAUAGUUUUGCAAAAAUAGUUAAAUGUCUUGCAUCAAUUUGAUCACAUGGUUACAACUCUGUAAUAGUUCUUAAUCCAAAUAGCUUAUAGUGAACACUUAAAUUAUAUUAUUAUAGAAUACGCCAUAUUCCAUCUUAUUAGGUGAAAACAUCAAAAAAUGAAAGGAGUCUUUGUAACAAGGUACAAUCAAUGCCCCACCAAAAUGAAGUACCUUUCCCCAUUUAAGUCAAAAUACCAAACACUGUGAUAUGGCAUUGUGCCUUUCCUUGGUAAUAUCUCAGUUCUGUCUCUUAAAAAAAAAAAAAAAAAAAAAAAAAAAAAAACAGG